CCUUUCAAAAAAUGAGAAGUGAAAAUUGAAUGGUUCCCUUUCACUUGUGAAGUUAAUUUACCCACAAUCCAUGAGUUAAAAGAAUCCUACAAGAGCAAGCUGCAGACAUCAUGAUCGAGAAGUACAAAAUAGCGGCACCUGUCUGAGAUUCAACACGCAAAGAAUAGAUACUAAAAAUAAGUAAAAGCAGUGGCUGGGGGUGGGAGUAUAAUCUUUAACAUACAGAGGGUAUACGGAAUGGAAAACUGAAAAAAUGACAGUGAGAAAAGGGGUUACCCUUUAGACACCAAUGACACAAGGCACUGCUUUCAAACUUCUGCAGUCACCCUUUUUCAUCUCUCUUCCCCCCUCAUCAUUACAUCUCUUUUUCCCCUCAUUUAUUUAAUUUCCCCUUCCCAUAGCAUUUGUCUUUUCUUCUCCUAAUUCUCUCUGAACCCUCAUGUAGUCAUUUUUCUUUCCACUUCUGAUUUCCCUUUUCUCUUAACCAUUCUAUAUCUCGUUCCUGGGAUUGUGCCUUUUGGCAGACCUAUUGUGUCAGUCAUUGGAUCUUUGAGUGAAUGCGUAAGUGAUUUCAUUGAUGUGCAGUGUCUAUCUUGUGCACCCUGUCACUGCUCCUUUCCUCUUACAGUGUUUAUAGUAGAGUCUGAGGCUUGUUAUCUCUGUCACCCACUAGCAGCCUGCCUCAUAUUAUAAAUUCUGCAUGUUAUGGACAGUGGCAAUCCUGUCUAUCUCAUGUAAUACGGCCACACUACAAACUUUCAUGAUGCAAGUCACUUGGCUGAAUGCAUUUGAAUCAAUAUCUGCAUGAAAAACGUCUUUUUUUAAUAAGUCUGAUGCAAAGUGUACA